AUUGAACGCUGGCGGCAGGCCUAACACAUGCAAGUCGAGCGAGCGGCGGACGGGUGAGUAAUGUAUGGGGACUGCCCGAUAGAGGGGGAUAACUACUGGAAACGGUAGCUAAUACCGCAUACUAAUGGAUAACCCAUAUGGGAUUAGCUAGUAGGUGAGGUAAUGGCUAACCUAGGCGACGAUCCCUAGCUGGUCUGAGAGGAUGAUCAGCCACACUGGGACUGAGACACGGCCCAGACUCCUACGGAGGCAGCAGUGGGGAAUAUUGCACAAUGGGCGCAAGCCUGAUGCAGCCAUGCCGCGUGUAUGAAGAAGGCCCUAGGGUUGUAAAGUACUUUCAGUCGGGAGGCGUUACCGACAGAAGAAGCACCGGCUAACUCCGUGCCAGCAGCCGCGGUAAUUC
rnacentral:rRNA from 1 species